rnacentral:rRNA from 1 species
GACGAACGCUGGCGGCGUGCUUAACACAUGCAAGUCGAACGGAAAGGCCCUGCUUUUGUGGGGUGCUCGAGUGGCGAACGGGUGAGUAACACGUGAGUAACCUGCCCUUGACUUUGGGAUAACUUCAGGAAACUGGGGCUAAUACCGGAUAGGAGCUCCUGCUGCAUGGUGGGGGUUGGAAAGUUUCGGCGGUUGGGGAUGGACUCGCGGCUUAUCAGCUUGUUGGUGGGGUAGUGGCUUACCAAGGCUUUGACGGGUAGCCGGCCUGAGAGGGUGACCGGCCACAUUGGGACUGAGAUACGGCCCAGACUCCUACGGGAGGCAGCAGUGGGGAAUAUUGCACAAUGGGCGGAAGCCUGAUGCAGCAACGCCGCGUGCGGGAUGACGGCCUUCGGGUUGUAAACCGCUUUCGCCUGUGACGAAGCGUGAGUGACGGUAAUGGGUAAAGAAGCACCGGCUAACUACGUGCCAGCAGCCGCGGUGAUACGUAGGGUGCGAGCGUUGUCCGGAUUUAUUGGGCGUAAAGGGCUCGUAGGUGGUUGAUCGCGUCGGAAGUGUAAUCUUGGGGCUUAACCCUGAGCGUGCUUUCGAUACGGGUUGACUUGAGGAAGGUAGGGGAGAAUGGAAUUCCUGGUGGAGCGGUGGAAUGCGCAGAUAUCAGGAGGAACACCAGUGGCGAAGGCGGUUCUCUGGGCCCUUCCUGACGCUGAGGAGCGAAAGCGUGGGGAGCGAACAGGCUUAGAUACCCUGGUAGUCCACGCUGUAAACGGUGGGUACUAGGUGUGGGGUCCAUUCCACGGGUUCCGUGCCGUAGCUAACGCUUUAAGUACCCCGCCUGGGGAGUACGGCCGCAAGGCUAAAACUCAAAGGAAUUGACGGGGCCCCGCACAAGCGGCGGAGCAUGCGGAUUAAUUCGAUGCAACGCGUAGAACCUUACCUGGGUUUGACAUGGAUCGGGAGUGCUCAGAGAUGGGUGUGCCUCUUUUGGGGUCGGUUCACAGGUGGUGCAUGGCUGUCGUCAGCUCGUGUCGUGAGAUGUUGGGUUAAGUCCCGCAACGAGCGCAACCCUUGUUCACUGUUGCCAGCACGUUAUGGUGGGGACUCAGUGGAGACCGCCGGGGUCAACUCGGAGGAAGGUGGGGAUGACGUCAAGUCAUCAUGCCCCUUAUGUCCAGGGCUUCACGCAUGCUACAAUGGCUGGUACAGAGAGUGGCGAGCCUGUGAGGGUGAGCGAAUCUCGGAAAGCCGGUCUCAGUUCGGAUUGGGGUCUGCAACUCGACCUCAUGAAGUCGGAGUCGCUAGUGAUCGCAGAUCAGCAACGCUGCGGUGAAUACGUUCCCGGG